rnacentral:rRNA from 1 species
GAUGAACGCUGGCGGCGUGCUUAACACAUGCAAGUCGAACGAAGCACUUCAUAAAGCUUGCUUUAAGAAGUGACUUAGUGGCGGACGGGUGAGUAACGCGUGGGUAACCUGCCUUACACAGGGGGAUAACAGUUAGAAAUGACUGCUAAUACCGCAUAAAACAGCAGAGUCGCAUGACUCAACUGUCAAAGAUUUAUCGGUGUAAGAUGGACCCGCGUCUGAUUAGCUAGUUGGUGGGGUAACGGCCUACCAAGGCGACGAUCAGUAGCCGGCCUGAGAGGGUGAACGGCCACAUUGGGACUGAGACACGGCCCAAACUCCUACGGGAGGCAGCAGUGGGGAAUAUUGGACAAUGGGCGAAAGCCUGAUCCAGCGACGCCGCGUGAGCGAUGAAGUAUUUCGGUAUGUAAAGCUCUAUCAGCAGGGAAGAA